GCUUAUUCGCCAAGGCCACGUAUAAUCAACCGAGCUUGAAAAAGGCGUCAUUUAUGUCAAUGAGUUCGAUGUUCUGCAUCUUUUCCUGUUGUUCAUAAGUUACCCAUUUCGAAGCUUUGUCCGCCGAAAGGCACGAGUUAUUUUUGAAUACAGGUUUAAAAGAUAUGUCUAACAUGAUCACCGGUACCGUUAAGUUCUUCAACGAAACCAAGGGCUUCGGCUUCAUCCAGCAAGAAAACGGCCCGGACGUGUUCGUACACUUCAGCGCCAUCCAAGGCAACGGUUUCCGUACCCUGGCUGAAGGCCAGCGUGUACAGUUCUCCGUGACCCAAGGCCAGAAGGGCCCGCAGGCUGAGAACGUAACUGCUCUGUAAUUGCACAGAAUUUAAAAAAGCCGCUGCCUGGCAGCGGCUUUUUG
rnacentral:sRNA from 1 species